rnacentral:SRP_RNA from 1 species
GCUGGGUGUGGAGGUGCACACCUGUAAUCCCAGCUACUCGGGAGGCUGAGGCAGGAGAAUAGCUUGAACCCAGGAGAUGGAGGUUGCAGUGAGCCAAGAUCGUGCCAUUGCACUCCAGCCUGGGUGACAGGGCAAGACUCCGUCUCAA